GUGAAGUGUUUGGGGAAACUC
rnacentral:miRNA from 1 species